GCGGGAGUCCCAUAUGUUCAUUUCUAAAGAAGGCUAAGUCUCAGGAGGCUCAAGUAAUUGUGGUCAUCUGCUGCAUCAGUGUGAUUUAUUUAGCCAUACUGUGUGAUUUCCUCCUCCUUAUAUUUGGGAUUCUCUCCACAGAAGCUGGGCCAUUUAGGAAUGGCAAAUAUUCUCAAUUCUGAACAAUUGAGAAUGAGCAAUAUGGCUGUAUCCAUUUCAAAAGAUUUUAUGUUCUCUGUAUAAGUACCUACCACAUUACAAUGUGGUUAGGCUUGUACAUGGUUUUGUAUGUAAUUCUAAUAAAAUGCCUGUGCAACUCAGAAAUAGUUUACAGUAUCAACUAAAACCUGCAAUGCCUGAGUAAGGAUAAAAAGGAGAUGCCUGAUUUGAGUAUACCCAUAGAAAAAAAGACUUCUAUGCAGUUCUGUCAGCAAAAAUAUGACCAGUACUCCUGAGCAGUGGUCCUGCCUGAACAUGUUUCUGUAUUUCAUUGCCUCAGUAGAAGCCCUCCAGAUGGCCAUGUGAUUGCUGCUGCUGCUGCUUCACGUGAUCCAGCUUUCUGGCACAAAGGCUCUGAGCUCGUACAGAUGAUUGUUAAACGUCAUGAGACUCUGAAAGGUAGAGUAGGCAAGAGGAGGAGGAAGCCAAGAAAAGAACUGUGUGGGAGUUACAGUGAAAAAUGAAUUUGGGCAAAAAAAAAUGAAGCACUGAAGAAGCAGCGGGAGGGAUAGGAAGAAAAUCAGUUGACGAUCAUGUUCAUAGGAGCAGUGGAGGAGGAAGAGAGACCAAGAAGAUAAAAAUGGCUGAUGGCAUCAAAAGCAGUAUGGAAAGAAGAGUAAAGAACUGGCUGGGGGGUUGGGCCAGGGAAGAGCUGUUGGUAACAUCCAAAAGAGCUGUUUUGGCCUAGCCUGCUUGGAAACUGGAUGGGUGAGGGAUGUGGCCUGAGGGCCAAGCUGGGUCUCUGUGGUCAUCCCCUAUAAUUUCCUGCUGAACAUCAAUCAUGGGCUGUCACACAGCUGCUCCUGGUGGUCCACGGGUCAGCCACAGUGUUCACAUUAGAAAGGUUCCUGAUCCCUUGCUGGCAGAUUUCAAGUGAGGAUAAAUCCAUCACACUGGUGGACAAACUGGUUUAAUUAAUGGGGUACUCUCACUGUUAGGGUUGAAUUGUUCUUCUUCAGGUUGAAGUUAUUGAGCUUGACCAUUAAUCUCUUGACUGUAAAAUAACCUCAUCUGUUAUCCCAAAAAAUCCCCCCAGAAACUGAACAUACUGCUGAAGACAUAAUGUCUUUGAUACUAUUUUGUGCAAAUUUAAACUACAGAAUUGAAGAGUAUAUUCAACCAAGAAAGGGAGUAGACAGGCCAGGGAAAUUGUAGCAGUGGAGAAUGACAGAAGUGAAGGCAGAGCCGAGAUGAAUCUCUUGAAGAAAAACUUGAAAGCCUGGAUGCUGAAGAUCUCAUGUCUCAUCUGUCACGACCACAAACCUACCUAGAAGAGGAGCAAAGAUCAAGUCUCCUACUCAUUUUGGGGCCUAUUUAUGCAAGAGAAAUCAGCAAAUAAAUAAAAUAUCAAAGAAAUCCAGAGAAAUAUUUAUAAAGAGAUCAAGUUGGUUGAAGUUAUCAUGAUUGAUUGAUGAGAAACAACACUGAGAAGGAAACAUAUAUGGCUCUCCCAGAGGGAGGAAUGGUGGCCCAGUGAUAAAAGUGCUCAUUUUCAUGCUCAACCUCAUGUAACUACUUGGGCUGCCUGUCUUGGUAACAGCAUGAAUUUAUACCAAGUCAGAAGUAAGAAAAUCAUACAGUUUUCAAGAAGGUGGGAAGGUAUUGAGACUGAGUACCUCCAGGCCUUGAGGGCAACUGUUGUUAAGUCCAUUUCUCAAAAAAGCCUAAGAAGCACGAGUUAAUAAGGCCAAGUCUCUAACCACAGCACUGCAGAUCUGCUGGGCUGCAGGGAGCAGUUCACAGAUCAUUGAUGGCAUUUGACUCUUCUGCCAGCUUUGAGAGGAGCACAUUUCUGCUACAGUCAGUUUGAUCACAUCUAUGACCACAGACCAUAAAAUUGCCUGGUAACUACAGGGCAGGGCACCACGGUCCAGUCUAACUCAGUUUGCUCCGCAGCCACAUUGAAUGGACGGGCUCAGCCUUUGUCCCUGUCUCCGAGCUGCUCCUCGCCAGCCACGCUCAGCCCCCACGCGCUGUAACUCACCAGGACGUGUGCAGUCUGAAUU